rnacentral:snRNA from 1 species
CUGAUUUAAGAACAGCACAUAUACUACAAUUGCAAAGGUUAGCAUGGCCCCUGUGCAAGGAUGACAUGGAAAAGAAAAUCAAGAGAAGUCAUUUC